CUUGGAUAAUUCUUCACAGUAGUGUCUAGAGGCUUGUCUCCCCGGUGCUGGGGAUCUGAACUCAGGUCUGUUGGUUUGCACAGCAAGCUUCCUUACUACCCACUGAGAUGAGAUAAGCUUACGAUGGUUUGCAUGGAAGUCACGGUGUAGGGAAAAGAAAGGCUCCACUGGACUCCUCCCUGUCCUGAGCUUGUCUGAUGACCCGGGCAGUGCCCCAGAUCCACAGACUUCUGGAAAGCAAGAACAGCCCUUUGCUCCCCAUCUCCCUGUCACCGGCUCCCUCCCUCAUGCCUCAGUGUAAGCUCUCCACUGCCUAACAAACACACGCAUGGAUAGGCAUUCAAGCACUUCUGAGGAGUUAUUAUUGAGGGACACUGGGCGGGACUGAUUGACAGGACUCAGAAUUACUGAAGAAAGAUAGUGGAACUCACAUGUCGGUCUGCAGACUUGAUCUGAGAAGAGCAGCUUGGCAGAAUAGUGGCGGCACACACUGGCUGACAGUAGCCCUCUCCUGGAGGGAUGUUCCUUCCGCUCUGACCAUCUCCUCUCCUGUACCACCCCUCAGAUGAGCUAGUAGAGGUGGGAGCAAAGCCAGUGUCCUCAGCAGGGUGGUGGCUCACCUUCCCUGAAGUCUUUGGUUUCUAAGAUACCCUAACUCAAUGCUUGGGCUCCUUUCUGACUUUAGAAAGUGGCUUCCUAUCACGACCUUCAGAACUAACUUAGUGGCACAGUCUGCUGGGGAACACUGCUCCUCUCCUCGUGACCACGUGGCUUUCGGGGAGCUCUGAGUUGCUGGGCAGCACGUGAGAGAGUAUUUGAGGCCAUACUGUGGCCAGUCCAGGAGAAAGUUUAAAUUCAAAGUAUGGUUUCUUCUGAAUGAGUAUUAUUUUUGUAGCAUCUUAAAUUCAACAAAUCAUCAAAAAAAAAUGUGUUGUCAACCACAGGCCAUCAUCUACAAGUAUAGGUAAACUCAAUGGGCUCCCCUGGUGGGAAUGUGAGCCAGGAGAAAAAGACCAGGAACCGCCCAGAACUGCAUCACCCUGAGGCGUUCUGAGCUUUCUGUGAGGUAAGAGAGUUGGGGGAAGACAAAGCUGGAGAUGGUUUAAAAACACCAAUCUAAGGCAGUAGGUAAGCAAACAAGUUGACCAGAAGGCCCAGUUGGAGUUUGGCGAGAAGCUGGGUUAAAAGAAAUAUGAACUUGUUGUGUGUAUAGCCACCAAAGACAGACACGUGGGCAGAGAGCAAAUCUAGGGAGCCAGUUCCAGACAGACUUCCAGGAGAACCACACAGCUCCGCAAUGCCAAGAGUUAGGAAGGCUGCAGUGGUAUCUUAGAGAAGCAGGGUGGGGUGGGUUAAGGUACAGCAGGCAAAGAGAUUGAUCUGAACUCGGCGCCAAAGAUGAGAAAACAACCCAGAGACCUGGCACAUGUUUUCCACGGAAGUAUAGGACAGCCUGGACCACGGACCAGUGGGUGAUGGAAGAGAAAGCCAGCAGAAUGGGAGCCGCUUGCUGUGGAGCCCAAGCCGGUUUCCCCUAAUGUGUGGUGUGAUGACAUUUACAGUGGGAAGGACCUGUUGUGAGUGCUUCCCUCACACCCAUUCUAGGGCCUGCUACUGUUAGUACUCCCAUGGGGAAACUGAGGCACAGAAAAGUUAAGCAGCUCCAAGGUGAAGGUCACUUAGCCAGAAAAUGGUGUAGCUAGGAUCUGUGUCCAGACAGUGAGACCCAAAGCCACUGUGUUACCUUCAGUUUGCCUAAAUUGGUCCUGCUUGUCUUGGUGACAGGAUGGUCUCCCAGCUUGGUAAGUGUCCCCUGGGCAUUGGCUGUAUCAUGGCCCAGGACAGCCUGCAGGGAGAUUAUAAUUAAUAUAACAUAAUUUAUAUACAUAUUACAUAAAUGGGGACAACUCUUUCUGAUAAAGAACAGAAUACAGGGUGGCCACUCUUUGGGG